UAUGGGUCGAAAUAACCUUAAAAGUCACCAGAUUCCAUCUGAUCUUGGAAGCUAAGCAGGAUUAUGCUGGGUUAAUACUUGUAUAGGAGACUGCCAAUGAAUACCAGAUGUUUUCAGAG
rnacentral:rRNA from 1 species